rnacentral:rRNA from 1 species
UGCAAGUCGGACGGUAGCACAGAAGGAGCUUGCUCCUUGGGUGACGAGUGGCGGACGGGUGAGUAGUGUCUGGGGAUCUCCCCAAUAGAGGGGGAUAACCACCGGAAACGGUGGCUAAUACCGCAUAAAGUCGCAAGACCAAAGAGGGGGACCUUCGGGCCUCUCCACUAUCGGAUGAACCCAGAUUGGGAUUAGCUAGUACGCGGGGUAAUGGCCCACCUAGGCGACGAUCCCUAGCUGGUCUGAGAGGAUGACCAGCCACACUGGAACUGAGACACGGUCCAGACUCCUACGGGAGGCAGCAGUGGGGAAUAUUGCACAAUGGGCGCAAGCCUGAUGCAGCCAUGCCGCGUGUAUGAAGAAGGCCUUCGGGUUGUAAAGUACUUUCAGCGGAGAAGAAGGCGGUGAGGUUAAUAACCUCACCGAUUGACGUUACCCGCAGAAGAAGCACCGGCUAACUCCGUGCCAGCACCCGCGGUAAUACAGAGGGUGCAAGCGUUAAUCGGAAUUACUGGGCGUAAAGCGCACGCAGGCGCUCUGUUAAGUCAGAUGUGAAAUCCCCGGGCUUAACCUGGGAACUGCAUUUGAAACUGGCACGCUUGACUCUCGUAGAGGGGGGUAAAAUUCCAGGUGUAGCGGUGAAAUGCGUAGAGAUCUGGAAGAAUACCGGUGGCAAACGCGGCCCCCUGGACAAACACUGACGCUCAGGUGCGAAAGCGUGGAGAGCAAACAGAGAUUAGAUACCCCUGGGUAGUCCACGCCCAUAAAACGAUGUCGACUUGGAGGUUGUUCCCUUUGAAGGAGUGGUCUUCCCAGAGCUAAACGCGUUAAUGUCCCACCGCCCUGGGAGAGUACGGCCCGCAAGGGUUAAAAACUCAAAUGAAUUUGACGGGGGGCCCCGACACAACGCGGGUGGGAGCAUGUGGUUUAAUUUCUGAUGCCAACGGCGGAAGAACCUUUACCCUACUUCGUUGAUCAUCCCAGAAGAACUUUACCAAAAUGAUGGAUUUGGUUGCCUUUCGGAAAAACUUCUGAAAACAAGGGUGCUGGCAUGGUCUUGUCCUUCACCCUCCGUUGUUUGUAAAAAUUGUUGGGUUAAGUCCCGCAACGAGCGCAACCCUUAUCCUUUGUUGCCAGCGAUUCGGUCGGGAACUCAAAGGAGACUGCCGGUGAUAAACCGGAGGAAGGUGGGGAUGACGUCAAGUCAUCAUGGCCCUUACGAGUAGGGCUACACACGUGCUACAAUGGCGCAUACAAAGAGAAGCGACCUCGCGAGAGCAAGCGGACCUCACAAAGUGCGUCGUAGUCCGGAUCGGAGUCUGCAACUCGACUCCGUGAAGUCGGAAUCGCUAGUAAUCGUGGAUCAGAAUGCCACGGUGAAUACGUUCCCGGGCCUUGUACACACCGCCCGUCACACCAUGGGAGUGGGUUGCAAAAGAAGUAGUUAGCUUAACCUUCGGGAGGGCGCUUACCACUU